CAAGUACCCCCUCCGUCCGAAAAUACUUGACAUCAAAAUAAAUAAAAGGGAAUGUAUCUAGAUGUAUUUUAGUUCUAAAUACAUUCCUUUUAUUCAUUUUGAUGACAAGUAUUUUUGGACGGAAGGAAUAAUAG
rnacentral:pre_miRNA from 1 species